UACGUAGGGUGCAAGCGUUGUCCGGAAUUAUUGGGCGUAAAGAGCUCGUAGGCGGUUCGUCGCGUCGGCUGUGAAAAACCUGAGGCUCAACCUCAGGCCUGCAGUCGAUACGGGCGGACUUGAGUACUGCAGGGGAGACUGGAAUUCCUGGUGUAGCGGUGAAAUGCGCAGAUAUCAGGAGGAACACCGGUGGCGAAGGCAGGUCACUGGGCCGCAACUGACGCUGAGGAGCGAAAGCGUGGGGAGCGAACAGG
rnacentral:rRNA from 1 species